rnacentral:rRNA from 1 species
AUGCAAGUCGAGCGAAUGGAUUGAGAGCUUGCUCUCAAGAAGUUAGCGGCGGACGGGUGAGUAACACGUGGGUAACCUGCCCAUAAGACUGGGAUAACUCCGGGAAACCGGGGCUAAUACCGGAUAACAUUUUGAACCGCAUGGUUCGAAAUUGAAAGGCGGCUUCGGCUGUCACUUUAUGGAUGGACCCGCGUCGCAUUAGCUAGUUGGUGAGGUAACGGCUCACCAAGGCAACGAUGCGUAGCCGACCUGAGAGGGUGAUCGGCCACACUGGGACUGAGACACGGCCCAGACUCCUACGGGAGGCAGCAGUAGGGAAUCUUCCGCAAUGGACGAAAGUCUGACGGAGCAACGCCGCGUGAGUGAUGAAGGCUUUCGGGUCGUAAAACUCUGUUGUUAGGGAAGAACAAGUGCUAGUUGAAUAAGCUGGCACCUUGACGGUACCUAACCAGAAAGCCACGGCUAACUACGUGCCAGCAGCCGCGGUAAUACGUAGGUGGCAAGCGUUAUCCGGAAUUAUUGGGCGUAAAGCGCGCCCAGGUGGUUUCUUAAGUCUGAUGUGAAAGCCCACGGCUCAACCCGUGGAGGGUCAUUGGAACUGGGAGACUUGAGUGCAGAAGAGGAAAGUGGAAUUCCAUGUGUAGCGGUGAAAUGCGUAGAGAUAUGGAGGAACACCAGUGGCGAAGGCGACUUUCUGGUCUGUAACUUGACACUGAGGCGCGAAAGCGUGGGGGGCAAACAGGAUUAGAUACCCUGGUAGUCCACGCCGUAACCC